rnacentral:rRNA from 1 species
GACGAACGCUGGCGGCGUGCUUAACACAUGCAAGUCGAACGGAAAGGCCCUUUCUGCGUUACUUGAGUGGCGAACGGGUGAGUAAGUCGUGGGUGAUCUGCCUUGCCUUCUGUGUUAAGUCUGGGAAACUGGGUCUAAUUCCGGAUAGGACCGCACUUUAGUGUGUGUGGUGGAAAGUGUUUUGGGUGUAGGGUGAGCCCGCGGCCUAUCAGCUUGUUGUUGGGGUAAUGGCCUUCCAAUGCCGCGACGGGUAGCCGGACUGAGAGGUUGGUCGGCCACCAUGGGGCCGAGGUUAGGGCCAAGCGCCCAAGGGAGGCCAAAGGUGGGAAGAAUGCACAAUGGGCGCAAGGCUGGUGCAGCGACGCCGCGGGGGGGAAGGCCGGCUUCUGGGUGUAAAAUCGCUUCGGCAGGGAAGGAGGGUUUUGUGACGGUACCUGGAGAAGAAGCACCGGCUAACUACGUG